rnacentral:rRNA from 1 species
UACGAAGGGGGCUAGCGUUGCUCGGAAUCACUGGGCGUAAAGGGUGCGUAGGCGGGUCUUUAAGUCAGGGGUGAAAUCCUGGAGCUCAACUCCAGAACUGCCUUUGAUACUGAGGAUCUUGAGUUCGGGAGAGGUGAGUGGAACUGCGAGUGUAGAGGUGAAAUUCGUAGAUAUUCGCAAGAACACCAGUGGCGAAGGCGCUCACUG